rnacentral:rRNA from 1 species
AUUGAACGCUGGCGGCAUGCCUUACACAUGCAAGUCGAACGGCAGCACGGGUGCUUGCACCUGGUGGCGAGUGGCGAACGGGUGAGUAAUACAUCGGAACAUGUCCUGUAGUGGGGGAUAGCCCGGCGAAAGCCGGAUUAAUACCGCAUACGAUCUACGGAUGAAAGCGGGGGACCUUCGGGCCUCGCGCUAUAGGGUUGGCCGAUAGCUGAUUAGCUAGUUGGUGGGGUAAAGGCCUACCAAGGCGACGAUCAGUAGCUGGUCGGAGAGGACGACCAGCCACCCUGGGACUGAGACACGGCCCAGACUCCUACGGGAGGCAGCAGUGGGGAAUUUUGGACAAUGGGCGAAAGCCUGAUCCAGCAAUGCCGCGUGUGUGAAGAAGGCCUUCGGGUUGUAAAGCACUUUUGUCCGGAAAGAAAUCCUUGGCUCUAAUACAGUCGGGGGAUGACGGUACCGGAAGAAUAAGCACCGGCUAACUACGUG